rnacentral:tRNA from 1 species
AGGAGACUCUAACUCCUACCGUCAACUCCCAAAGCUAACAUUCUAUUUAAACUAUUCUCUG